rnacentral:snoRNA from 1 species
UCCUCCCACAAAGGCACGCUUGUAUUGUUUUGCUUGCACGCGUGUAAGAAAUGGAGGUAUAUUAAGUGAAUAUGUAAUUUUGCAAUGAACUGUUUCAAUGAAUGGUUCACCGAGUACUCAUUCAUACAU